rnacentral:rRNA from 1 species
UAGAGUUUGAUCCUGGCUCAGGACGAACGCUGGCGGCGUGCCUAAUACAUGCAAGUCGAGCGGACCUUUAGAAGCUUGCUUCUGAAGGUUAGCGGCGGACGGGUGAGUAACACGUGGGCAACCUGCCCUAUAGUUGGGGAUAACUCCGGGAAACCGGGGCUAAUACCGAAUAAUUCAUUUCAUCACAUGUUGAAAUGAUGAAAGAUGGUUCUGCUAUCGCUAUAGGAUGGGCCCGCGGCGCAUUAGCUAGUUGGUGAGGUAACGGCUCACCAAGGCGACGAUGCGUAGCCGACCUGAGAGGGUGAUCGGCCACACUGGGACUGAGACACGGCCCAGACUCCUACGGGAGGCAGCAGUAGGGAAUCUUCCACAAUGGACGAAAGUCUGAUGGAGCAACGCCGCGUGAGUGAAGAAGGUUUUCGGAUCGUAAAACUCUGUUGUAAGGGAAGAACAAGUACAGUAGUAACUGGCUGUACCUUGACGGUACCUUAUUAGAAAGCCACGGCUAACUACGUGCCAGCAGCCGCGGUAAUACGUAGGUGGCAAGCGUUGUCCGGAAUUAUUGGGCGUAAAGCGCGCGCAGGCGGUCCUUUAAGUCUGAUGUGAAAGCCCACGGCUCAACCGUGGAGGGUCAUUGGAAACUGGAGGACUUGAGUGCAGAAGAGGAAAGUGGAAUUCCAAGUGUAGCGGUGAAAUGCGUAGAGAUUUGGAGGAACACCAGUGGCGAAGGCGACUUUCUGGUCUGUAACUGACG